rnacentral:rRNA from 1 species
GACGAACGCUGGCGGCGUGCUUAACACAUGCAAGUCGAACGAUGAUGCCAGCCUGUUGGUGGAUUCGUGGCGGACGGGCGAGUAACACGUGCGCAACCUGCCCCUGACUUCGGGUUAACCGCGUGAAACCGUGGCUAAUUCAGGCUAUGACGCGCUAUCGCAUGGUGGUGUGGGGAAAGAUUUAUUGGUUGGGGAGGGGCUGGCGGCCUAUCAGCUAGUUGGUGGGGUGAGGGCCUGCUAAGGCGACGAUGGGUGGCCGGCCUGAGAGGGUGGCCGGCCACACAGGGACGGAGUCAGGGCCGAGACACAUACGGGAGGCAGCAAUGGGGGAGAUAGCACAAUGAGCGGAAGCCAGAUGGAGCGACGCCGCGUGAGGGAGGGCGGCCGUCGGGUUGGAAGCCACUUGCAGUAGGGAAGAAGGCCUUCGGGUUGACGGUACCGGCAGAAGAAGCACCGGCUAACUACGUG